rnacentral:rRNA from 1 species
UACGUAGGGUGCGAGCGUUAAUCGGAAUUACUGGGCGUAAAGCGUGCGCAGGCGGUUUGUUAAGACAGAUGUGAAAUCCCCGGGCUUAACCUGGGAACUGCAUUUGUGACUGGCAAGCUAGAGUAUGGCAGAGGGGGGUAGAAUUCCACGUGUAGCAGUGAAAUGCGUAGAGAUGUGGAGGAAUACCGAUGGCGAAGGCAGCCCCCCGGGCCAAUACUGACGCUCAUGCACGAAAGCGUGGGGAGCAAACAGG